GUGAUUUUAGUUUAAUAAAAAUAUUUAUUUUGCGUGUAAAUGAUUUGGGUUUUUCCAGAGAUCACA
rnacentral:tRNA from 1 species